AAAUGAAUAGACGGGGGCCCGCACAAGCGGCGGAGCAUGUGGAUUAAUUCGAUGCAACGCGAAGAACCUUACCUGGGUUUGACAUAUAGAGGAUCGCCGGAGAGAUUCGGUUUGCCUUGUGCCUUCUAUACAGGUGGUGCAUGGCUGUCGUCAGCUCGUGUCGUGAGAUGUUGGGUUAAGUCCCGCAACGAGCGCAACCCUUGUCUCAUGUUGCCAGCACGUAAUGGUGGGGACUCGUGAGAGACUGCCGGGGUCAACUCGGAGGAAGGUGGGGAUGACGUCAAGUCAUCAUGCCCCUUAUGUCCAGGGCUUCACACAUGCUACAAUGGCGCGUACAGAGGGCUGCAAUACCGUGAGGUGGAGCGAAUCCCUUAAAGCGCGUCUCAGUUCGGAUUGGGGUCUGCAACUCGACCCCAUGAAGUCGGAGUCGCUAGUAAUCGCAGAUCAGCAACGCUGCGGUGAAUACGUUCCCGGGCCUUGUACACACCGCCCGU
rnacentral:rRNA from 1 species